rnacentral:pre_miRNA from 1 species
UCUUACAGAUGAGCAAAGAAAGUGGUUUCUUAAAAUGGAAUCUACUCCUUGUGAAAAUGCCGUGAA